rnacentral:lncRNA from 1 species
CUCAGGUAGUGUUGAAAGAUUUUUAUGUGAGAGUUUUUUUAAUCCAAACAGAAGGACGCCUUUGUUAUUCUUCUUUAUAAUAAUACACCAGCUUCUCUUUUCCCUAAAAUUCACAAUACCAUUUAGAUGCUCAAGUUUUAGGGUCCAUGUUUUACCAUUGCUUUCAUCAGGCUAAAGUCAUGAAGACUUGUUCAUCCCAGAUGCUGUAUGGGUUUUCACCUACGAUG